rnacentral:rRNA from 1 species
GCCCAGACUCCUACGGGAGGCAGCAGUGAGGAAUAUUGGUCAAUGGUCGGGAGACUGAACCAGCCAAGCCGCGUGAGGGGGGAAGGUACAGAGUAUCGUAAACCUCUUUUGUCAGGGGACAAAGACUGGGACGCGUCCCCGGAUGAGUGUACCUGAAGAAAAAGCAUCGGCUAACUCCGUACCAGCAGCCGCGGUAAUACGGAGGAUGCGAGCGUUAUCCGGAUUUAUUGGGUUUAAAGGGUGCGCAGGCGGUCUGUUAAGUCAGCGGUCAAAUCGUGGGGCUCAACCCCAUCCAGCCGUUGAAACUGGGGAUCUAGAGUGUGCGAGAGGUAUGCGGAAUGCGUGGUGUAGCGGUGAAAUGCAUAGAUAUCGCGCAGAACUCCGAUUGCGAAGGCAGCAUGCCGGCUCCACACUGACGCUGAGGCACGAAAGCGUGGGUAUCGAACAGGAUUAGAUACCCGGGUAGA